UCUAAAAAUGCAUCAGUAAUCAUGUCUUGAACCCUAUCAUUAUCUACCAUCUGCUCCUCUUGAUGGUAAUUAUAUUCAUUAUGCAAAUGAAUCGGUUCUUCAUUAUUACCAGCAUCCUCAAAAUUAUUAUUACUACUACUUGUUUCAUUUUCACCAUAACCUUCUCCGUGUUGAUACCAAAUAUAAUAUCGUGGUGUAAAUCCCCGGUUUACUAAAUGCUUCCAUACAGUUUCACUGCGUACAAAUUUUGAAUUCUUGCAUUUCCGACAAGGACAGAACAUCUUACUGUUUUCCUGCGUGAUCGGUGUAGAGCCCAUAUGGUACAUAAAAUGUCUCUAGCCCGCCCAGAAAUGCAUUCGUCACUCUCCCUUCCGAAUCUUUAUGGGAAUACAUCCAACUCCGUAACUUGUAAAUAUUACCGUCAUCCGCCAUUUUUUUUAUAAUUUGUUUUGUGAAUUUUUUUGGGAAAAUUUUUUCUUAAUUAGAAUUUUUUGGGGAAAUUUUUGUUCCUCAGAUUUUUUUUUUAUUUGUUUUUGUUUGUGUGUUGUGAGAGAGGGAGUUGUGCAAAGUGACAUAUAUAUAGGAAAAAAAUUCGAGUUUGGUAGGUGAAGUAUAACAAGGAUUUUACUAGGAAAAUUUUACUAGGGUUUUACAUCUCUCUUACAUCAGUUUUACAACGAGUUUACAACGAAAUUAGACAAUUCAAAGUGCAUUGAAUACACGUUUUCACCAAUAAAUAACGGUAACCUGUGUCGUCGAAAUAUCCUCGUAAAUUUACGACGAAUAUUGUUUGCCACAUACUUUCUUCAUAAAUUUACAAGGUAUUUACGAUGAAACAUUAUUCUUGUAAUUUUGCGUCUACGUUACGACGAAUUUCAAUUUCGUCGUAACAUCCUCGUAAGCUACAUGUAAGUUUACGAGGAAAUAUUUUCCUCGUAAUUUUUUGUCGUUACGGAAAUGUUUUCUUGUAGUGAACAUAUUAACCAUAACACCACAUAUAUUUAAAAAAAAAAUAGCACUGCACAUAUGUAAAGUAUUCUGAAAACUGUAUUAAAAUGCCACAGCAUUCAUACACAUCUAAAGACCCGGUUCGAGCAACCAAAUGUACAGUCAAAUUCGAACCAUAAUAUAAACCAGACAAUAAUCUGUGACUAAGCGACUGUACAUUAAAUUAUUACUUUAUGUUAACCAACUCGCUCGCUUAGUCACAUGCUUAACCUAAUUUUGUUACAAAAUUGAAGUAAUCUAAACUAUUAAAAAUGAAGUACAAAUAAGAAUUAACCCUGAUUAUUAUUAAAUAUUUACAUUCUAAUGCCAUUGAGUUAAUAAUUGGUUUGGUUAACCAAAAAUUAUUAACCACAUUUAUAGCAAAGUACACGGAAACUUCACCGGCGUCGUCUUCUACCACCCAACGUUGCCAAACCCUAGAUCUUUCUUAGCCGUCAAAUCCUGAUAUGACCAGCCAAUUAAAAGAUGGUCUUUCGUUUUACAGAAAUCAAUCCUGGUCUAAGAAUCAGUCUUGACGACGGACAUCACCACAAUCAUGACCGCUUCUAAAUACGUCAAAGAUUUGUAAGUCUCAAAGAAAAGCUUCCAUCCUUCAUAAGAAAAUCUCAUUUUUUUCAUUUAUGAUUCAUUUUCUAAUAUUGUUACCUUAUAUGUUUCUCAGGAAUUACAGAAAUUCAUAUUUCGCAAAAGUAGGUGAAUUAAAGACAGAGGAUUUGAGGUGUUUAUGUUCUUGAUGGGAUUCAAGCUACAUGUUUCAAUCAAGGUAUAUAGUGUUUUUUAUGGCUGAAGUGACAAACUUUAAGGAGAUGGGUUAAGUAGAGGCAUAAAACCAAGUUUGAUGUGGUUUAGGAAUAGAAAGAAGAUGACGAGCUGAGUGUGAUAGAUUUCAAGUCAUGUGUAUAGAUAGAUCAUACUUACACUUCAUCUUAGAAAACCUUUGGGAUUGCUCUCAGCUCGAAGCAGCUGAGUUCUGUAAAGUUACUUAAUUUACUUCAGUCACUUCACAAAUAUGCAUAUUGUUUGUUGUGCACCAGUUACCUAGAAAAGGAAUUUACGUGUAUGUGUGCCGAGUAUGCUUAUACUCUUGGGACUAUUUGAUUUCGUUCAGAGCUUCGUUUUAUGCAUUGACUGACAUUCUUAUCGCUUUUCAUGUGUCCGUCAGGGAUAACCAAGUUUCCACCUAUUUGGAUUCAUUAUGUGUUGCAGUCACAGCUACAAGAGCGCUUAAGUCAGUUCUUGAAUGAAAUUGGAUAUCUUCAGAAGGGUGCAGUUAUGGGUUUAAAAAAGCGUGCUUAGCGUGAGGCAACCUUUGUUUGGGGGUCACCACCUCGGAGUCCUGAAGCAAGGUGAAUUCAAGAAAGCGUCACUUCAACCUCGCCCCGAGCCGCUUUGGAAGCCUCACGCUGCACUGCUUAGGUGACUAACGGUAAGUUUCCAACGAAAACUUAUUUUACAUUUUUUUUAAAAAAGUUUAUGUUGGUUUGAUUUUAUGUUUUAAGACUUUGUUGGCUUGUUUCUCUGCUUUUUGAACAUUUUUGUUGGGAUUAAUUUUCUUUUAAGUUUUAUUUUAUGGAGAACUAUUUAUUUUUAAUUUUAAUGGUUUAGGAUAAUUACAAAGAACAGAAGAAUCUGAAUGAUUUAUAUGUCCUAACCCCUAAUCUUUCGUGUCGGUUCAGACUACACCUUAAGUUGGCAAGGCGGUACGAAGCGAAGCUAUAGCGUGGAGGCGAUCUUGACCUUCCCAUCGCCUCAAGGGUUGAAGCGCUAUUUUAAACCCAGCAGUAGCAAUGGUAGUUUUGGUUCUAAUUUUCAAGAAUCAUGGUCUAAUUUAUUGGAAUGUUAGGUUACUUGAUCACGUUAUCAAUAGUUAUCCUCAACAGCAAAGACAAGAAACGAAGCAAAUGAAAAAAAAACAUUCACUUUAUUUGUUAGGUCCCUCACGUAAAACACAGGGCAAUUUUA